rnacentral:rRNA from 1 species
AGCUCCAAUAGCGUAUACUAACGUUGUUGCAGUUAAAAAGCUCGUAGUUGGAUUUCUGAUGAUGGUUGGAUGAAUGGGACCGCGUGUCUCAUUUACCAUACUAUCGUCAACAUAUGUGAUGAGCUGAUGUGGUUACUUUAUUGUGAUCCGUCAUUUAAUCACUCGUUUACUUUGAGAAAAUUAGAGUGUUCAAAGCAGGCAUCAUGCCUUGAAUAUGUUAGCAUGGAAUAAUAGCAUAGGACUUUGGUUCUAUUUGUUGGUUGUUCGAGAACCGGAGUAAUGAUUGAUAGGGACGGUUGGGGGCAUCCGUAUUCUCAAGCGAGAGGUGAAAUUCUUGGACCUUGGGAAGACGAACAGCUGCGAAAGCGUUUGCCUAGGACGUUCUCU